UUCUGAUUAUCAAGUCUUGCAAGAACUUACCUAGAGCUAAGUUAAAUCCGUAUCUUUAGUGAUUUUUCAAUAAAAAAGAAAAAAAGAAUUCGAAUAUGAAAUUAUAUAUUGGAGCUUGUCUAGUCGUUUUGAGCAUUUAUUUACUUGUAAAAGCUGAUGUGUACCUACCACCACUUGAAGAUAUUUAAACAUAAGACAAUUGAGAAACAAUCGGCUACUUUGAAAUAAAAGAAAGCAUGAUUUUUUGAUUGGAAAAUUAAAAAACAUGUUAACUUAGACUUUAAAAAAAAUAA